GUUAACGGCGUCGAGCGGCGGACGGGUGAGUAAUGCCUGGGAAAUUGCCCUGAUGUGGGGGAUAACCAUUGGAAACGAUGGCUAAUACCGCAUAAUAGCUUCGGCUCAAAGAGGGGGACCUUCGGGCCUCUCGCGUCAGGAUAUGCCCAGGUGGGAUUAGCUAGUUGGUGAGGUAAGGGCUCACCAAGGCGACGAUCCCUAGCUGGUCUGAGAGGAUGAUCAGCCACACUGGAACUGAGACACGGUCCAGACUCCUACGGGAGGCAGCAGUGGGGAAUAUUGCACAAUGGGCGCAAGCCUGAUGCAGCCAUGCCGCGUGUAUGAAGAAGGCCUUCGGGUUGUAAAGUACUUUCAGCAGUGAGGAAGGCGGGUGUGUUAAUAGCACAUUCGUUUGACGUUAGCUGCAGAAGAAGCACCGGCUAACUCCGUGCCAGCAGCCGCGGUAAUACGGAGGGUGCGAGCGUUAAUCGGAAUUACUGGGCGUAAAGCGCAUGCAGGUGGUUUGUUAAGUCAGAUGUGAAAGCCCGGGGCUCAACCUCGGAAUUGCAUUUGAAACUGGCAGACUAGAGUACUGUA
rnacentral:rRNA from 1 species